CACGGUAAUUCGCCAGAGAUGGCUUAGUGCCUUCGGGACCGUGAGACAGGUGCUGCAUGGCUGUCGUCAGCUCGUGUUGUGAAAUGUUGGGUUAAGUCCCGCAACGAGCGCAACCCUUAUCCUUUGUUGCCAGCACGUAAUGGUGGGAACUCAAAGGAGACUGCCGGUGAUAAACCGGAGGAAGGUGGGGAUGACGUCAAGUCAUCAUGGCCCUUACGAGUAGGGCUACACACGUGCUACAAUGGCAUAUACAAAGAGAAGCGAACUCGCGAGAGCAAGCGGACCUCAUAAAGUAUGUCGUAGUCCGGAUUGGAGUCUGCAACUCGACUCCAUGAAGUCGGAAUCGCUAGUAAUCGUAGAUCAGAAUGCUACGGUGAAUACGUUCCCGGGUCUUGAAACACCCCCGA
rnacentral:rRNA from 1 species